UGGCUUGGAAGCAGCCAUUCAUUUAAAGAGUGCGUAACAGCUCACUAGUCGAGCGUUCCUGCGCGGAAAAUAAGCGGGCAUCAAGCGAUCCGCCGAAGCCAUGGAUGUCACGAAAGUGACAUGGUAGGGGAGCAUUCCGGUUGCGUAGAAGCCGUGUCGUGAGGCAUGGUGGAGCGGUCGGAAAAGCAAAUGUAGGCAUGAGUAACGAUAAAGGAUGUGAAAAACAUCCUCGCCGUAAGACCAAGGAUUCCUGAUCGAUGUUAAUCAGAUCAGGGUUAGUCGGGACCUAAGGAGUAGCCGAGAGGCGAAUCUGAUGGCAAACGGGUUAAUAUUCCCGUACCUGUUAUAAGUUAAAAAGGUGACGGAGAGGUGUAGUGCACGCGUACUGACGGAAUAGUACGUUGAACCAUCUGAGAGGAUGGGAUAGUACACUAAGUCCACUGGACGAGGUGAUAGUUGCAUGAAGCCGCUUCCAAGAAAAGCCGAAUUAUAACAGCCCGUACCGUAAACCGACACAGGUGGUCGAGUCGAGUAGACUAAGGCGCUCGAGUGAUUCACGGCUAAGGAAUUCGGCAAAAUGGUCUCGUAACUUCGGGAGAAGAGACCCCCACGCGAGUGGGGCGCAGUGAAUAGGUCCAGGCGACUGUUUAGCAAAAACACAGGGCUCUGCGAAAUCGAAAGAUGAAGUAUAGGGUCUGACACCUGCCCGGUGCCGGAAGGUUAAGGAAGGGGGUUAGUCGAAAGGCGAAGCUCUUGACUGAAGCCCCGGUAAACGGCGGCCGUAACUAUAACGGUCCUUGUCGGGUAAGUUCCGACCUGCACGAAUGGUGUAACGAUCUGGACGCUGUCUCAGCCGUGAGCUCGGUGAAAUUGAAGUAUCGGUGAAGAUGCCGAUUACCCGCAACGGGACGAAAAGACCCCGUGAACCUUUACUAUAGCUUCACAUUGUGUUUGAGUAUAGGAUGUGUAGGAUAGGUGGGAGGCUAUGAAUCUGGCACGCUAGUGUUGGUGGAGCCGCCGUUGAAAUACCACCCUUUCUAUACUUAGAUUCUAACUUUCCUUAUGGAGAGGACAGUGUGUGGUGGGUAGUUUGACUGGGGUGGUCGCCUCCUAAAGAGUAACGGAGGCUUGCAAAGGUACCCUCAGCAUGGACGGUAACCAUGCGAAGAGCGCAUUAGUAGAAGGGUGCUUGACUGAGAGAACGACGGUUCGAACAGGGACGAAAGUCGGCUAAAGUGAUCCGGUGUUUCCGCAUGGAAGGGACAUCGCUCAAAGGAUAAAA
rnacentral:rRNA from 1 species